AAGUUACUCCCUUCGUCCCAAAAUUCUUCUCUUUAAUUUGUCUAAAUAAGGAUGUAUCAAGUCAUAUUUUAAUAUUAGAUACAUCCGUAUCUAGAAAAAUAUAAGACAAGAAUUUUGGGACGGAGGGAGUACAUG
rfam:Triticum aestivum genome assembly, contig: Triticum_aestivum_CS42_TGACv1_scaffold_147021_2BS